rnacentral:rRNA from 1 species
UUCCGGUUGAUCCUGCCGGACCUGACUGCUAUCGGAUUGAUACUAAGCCAUGCAAGUCUUUGUAGUAAUACAAGGCAUACGGCUCAGUAACGCGUAGUCAACCUACCCUAUGGAUGGGGAUAAUCUCGGGAAACUGAGCAUAAUACCCAACAGAUCAUCAAUUCUGGAAUGGUUGAUGAUUCAAAUGAUUUUUCGCCAUAGGAUGGGACUGCGACCUAUCAGCUUGUUGGUGAGGUAAUGGCCCACCAAGGCAAUUACAGGUACGGGCUCUGAGAGGAGAAGCCCGGAGAUGGGUACUGAGACAAGGACCCAGGCCCUAUGGGGCGCAGCAGGCGAGAAAACUUUGCAAUGUGCGAAAGCACGACAAGGUUAAUCCGAGUGAUUUCUGCUAAAGGAAUCUUUUACCAGUUCUAAAAAUACUGGCGAAUAAGGGGUGGGCAAGUUCUGGUGUCAGCCGCCGCGGUAAAACCAGCACCUCAAGUGGUCAGGAGGAUUAUUGGGCCUAAAGCAUCCGUAGCCGGCUCUGUAAGUUUUCGGUUAAAUCUAUAUGCUCAACAUACAGGCUGCCGAAAAUACUGCAUAGCUAGGGAAUGGGAGAGGUAGACGGUACUCGGUAGGAAGGGGUAAAAUCCUUUGAUCUAUCGAUGACCACCUGUGGCGAAGGCGGUCUACCAGAACAUGUUCGACGGUGAGGGAUGAAAGCUGGGGGAGCAAACCGGAUUAGAUACCCGGGUAGUCCCAGCUGUAAACGAUGCAGACUCGAUAAUGCACUGGCACAUAGCCAGUGCAGUGUCGCAGGGAAGCCGUUAAGUCUGCCGCCUGGGAAGUACGUACGCAAGUAUGAAACUUAAAGGAAUUGGCGGGGGAGCACCACAAGGGGUGAAGCCUGCGGUUCAAUUGGAAUCAACGCCGGA